GGUGGGAUAGCUAGGGGUAUAGUGCUAUUCUUACAAAAUAGCGAGAUCUGUUAAACUCGGAUUCCCGCCA
rnacentral:tRNA from 1 species